rnacentral:rRNA from 2 species
AUACAUGCAAGUCGAACGAACUCUGGUAUUGAUUGGUGCUUGCAUCAUGAUUUACAUUUGAGUGAGUGGCGAACUGGUGAGUAACACGUGGGAAACCUGCCCAGAAGCGGGGGAUAACACCUGGAAACAGAUGCUAAUACCGCAUAACAACUUGGACCGCAUGGUCCGAGUUUGAAAGAUGGCUUCGGCUAUCACUUUUGGAUGGUCCCGCGGCGUAUUAGCUAGAUGGUGGGGUAACGGCUCACCAUGGCAAUGAUACGUAGCCGACCUGAGAGGGUAAUCGGCCACAUUGGGACUGAGACACGGCCCAAACUCCUACGGGAGGCAGCAGUAGGGAAUCUUCCACAAUGGACGAAAGUCUGAUGGA